UUCAUUCAUCACACAUAAUCGUCAGGUAGUACAAUGCCAAACUUUUAAGGAGCCGUAGCUCUUAAAUAUGGGACCCAUGUACAUACUCUCGACUUAGAUGAUUCCUUCCUUAGCUGGAGACAUCUUCUCGAGCCCUCUCCCUGACGGUGGUCCAUCUUUGUCAGCCAGUUCCUCCUGGACUGGCUCAGCUGUGCACGUCACACUCAUGGCGAGAGACAGGGGAGGCGUGACAAUGCGGCGCCGUGAGGAACUUCGUGGACGACGCCUCGGUGGGGUGUGGUCAUUUACUACAACCCCAGGCUCGGGGACCUUGUCGUCGGCGUCAGGGGCAACAGGAGGGCGCUCGACGUCAACGUCGGUGCUAGAGGUGAGCCGGCUCUGAUGCUGACAAAGCAGGCGGCGCUGAUAUCAGGGGAAGGAGAUUGGUUGGCUGGCAUGCGACCUUGCUUCGAGUGGCGGAGUGAGUUCGCCGCCGAAGGCAGGGUUGGCAUCGUGGUCAGCAGCCGGGAGAGGAGGGAGAGGAGUUUGACGGUUGGGAGGAACGGGAAGGAUAAAGGUGCCCCAGUGGUGGGCGUUGGCAUGGUGGGUGUUCGCUGAGGUCCUCGGUCGAACACUUGGUGGGCGGCCAUUGCUCUCCGCAGGAUGUUCCGUCGCGUCGCGUGGCACAGAGUGAGGUAGGUCCUCCAUGACUCUCCUCUGUACUGUUGUUGGAAUUUGAUGAAUUCAUAUGUUAGCAAUGACUUGAUCGGUCAAUGUAUGUUUUAGUGUGAUGCACUAGCAUCAGUGCCAUAUAGAGUUCGAAGGUAAUGCUGUACCAAUACUUGAAACACCACCAAUACUGCAUGAUUAGUGUAAGUAGCAGGCCUGCAACUUCAAUCAUGACCAUCACCAUGCUGGUACCAAGUAGAUUUCAUAAAAUUACCUCUCAAAGCUCGAGCUGUUAAGGCAUGCUGAUAGGGAAAUCUGUACUACAGAGUACUAUUUAUGCCACCUAACUUAAUAAGUAAAUUUUUCUCUGAAGUUCUUGGGUUGGUAUAAGUCAUAAGCAUUUUGAUCUGUAGCCCAGAAAAGAGCAUUUCAUGACACACUAAAGCCUGCAAAAAAGAGCAUUCCACAUUAAGCUCAUAGAGUGCUUUCAAGAACAUGAAGUACAUGGAGAAAUAUUUCAGUAGCAUUACUUCAUAUUAUCAUGAGAUCUGAAAGACAUGUCUUAUAUUUUAGGAUGUGCGUGCAUUCCACAUAAGCAUUGCACAUAAUCAUUUGUUUUUCGUGUGCGUGGUGAGUGCCAUUGCAGCACCAUCUUCAGUUAAUUGUCAAAUAGAUGAAGAACACCAUGAAGCUCAGUGCAGAGUCCCUGGUGGAGAUCUGCUCAUGAUGUUUUCCUCCAAUAAUAGGAACCAGAGGACAGUCUCCUAUGCACAAGUCAUGUAUACGAGUCUAUAUCCCUAUCGUUCAUACUUCAGACCCCAUUUGUCUUCAGAUUAACUAGCUUUAGAAGAUUCUUGGGUGGCGUGUGCAGCUCUAUGAGGUUACAGGUUCUAAAUUUGGUCUCCUAUUAAGUUGGUCGGCAUCCAGAUGGAUGGGCAUCACCUUAUUGUGUCCUGCUUCACUUGAUUAAACAUGUGCUGAUUUUGCCAUAAAAUAGGUUACUACCCAUAGUUUGAUGAUCUUCACAUGAGCUAUAUAAUAUCACGUCACUUUCUUACCUUACACCAUGUUUUGGUCAUUCCAACUGAUUCUUUAUGGGUUUGCGACAAAAAGUGAAAGGCAAUCAUCUUUCAUUUGUUUAGAUGGUUAGUGCUCUCAAUGCCAUUUGUUUUCAAUCAUUAUUUCUCUUUCCUAAAAUAUAUGAAACCUGAAGUUUUUCUUUUUCCAACAAUCAAGUACUAGAUACUAAAGUUUGAUUACUUAAUUGAUUGCAAUGAGAUGGCAUGUGCUAUUAGCGGAGGAAGGGCCUCUUGAGUGGCACCAAUCAUUCAACAAAUGUGAUUACGUAAUGACACCAUAUGUGCGUUCUUUCUUAGUUCAAAUUGCAUAUGCUGGUUUAGAAGUUAACACCAAAUAUCAUUGUAUCAGAAAAAGUACACCACUUCAUAACCAUCUCAUUAAUUAAGUAAACCCCCUCAUAUCAGUAUUAUUAUCAUAUUGCUGCAUCUGAAAACACCAGAUCUAUGAGUAUGGAUCUGAAAAUAAUGUAUGCAGGUGAACAACCUGGACGAGGAACGUAGGCUCAGUUUUACCUGAAUUUCAGAACAUAUUACCUUCAGAGAAUUAUGAUUCUACAACUCUGAUGCCACUUUUUUUUGACAAGGGGGUGGUAAUCUAUUAAUCAAGGAUCCAAAGAUUUACAAUCAUUCGCAAUCUGUCGCACCACACAGGGAGGAAUAGAAUUACGAAGAACACCACCACACAACCCACUAACACUAAACUUGGCAAGCUCAUGCGCUACACAAUUGUUCAAACGGCCAGUAUGUUGGAAACUGAUGCCCGGAUCAGAAGAAGAAAGGUGCAAGAUGUCACUGAUAAUUGGUCGAGAGAUCGAUCUGUUAUCUGACCCUUGACGAAGUGCCGAAAUAAGAGCAAGACAAUCACUUUCCACAACCAGUGGCCGUGUAGAUCCCUUCCAGGCAGGCCACAGCUUCAGCCAUUUCGGCACAAGGGCAUCCGUCAAUGACGUUCCAAGCCGAGACAAUAACAGAAUUAUGAUCGUCACGCACAAUAGCCCCCUAAGCAGCCAGACCCGAAGCCGGAAUAAAGCUAGCAUCAACAUUCAGUUUAACCCAACCUGAAACAGGAGGAGACCAGUUCGAGCACUGGGGCUGAACCAGGGCAAUCUUCAUGGCCGGCUGGGGAAUAUUAACGGCCUCCUUACCUUUCAGGUCGGGAGCCUUAAUCUUGUCCUUGAGAGAAAGUAAGGAGUUGGCAUAACCGAAGAGGAAUUGCGCUGAAGCUGAAACAGAAGCAUCACCUUUUGCAAAAAUAACGUCGUUUCGGAGAUGCCAAGCUCUCCACCACAAGAACAGAAGCUUUGAUCUGCAGUCCUCAUCAACUUGGCUCAGUAACAAUAGGACCCAAUCCGGUCCAGUUCGCCUCAAGGCAGCGUCCGGGGGGAGGGACCAGACCAACCGAACUGAAUCUCUUAAGGCUCUUGCCUUAGUGCAGUUCAUUACAGCAUGGUAGCCGUCCUCUUGUUCAGUGGCACAAAUAGAGCACAUCGGGGACACGUUUUUGAAACUCUGAUGCCACUUUGACAAUUGUUCUUAAUGCAUAAACAAUGUUGAGUGCAACAAUUAUAUAGAAGAGAGUCCACAUGGUUUCAAGUAAAGAGUGAUUAUCAGGAGGGUAAAAAAAGUGGACAUUCACCGAUUUAAUAGAAUAGUGGGUAAUAUUGUGGAGUACCUUGUAUUUUAAUUAUUGCUUUGAAUUUCUGUCGAGUUGUAAUAUUUUGGUACCUAAUUAUAAUAUUUAUGUGCUCGUGGAUUUUAUA